AUUGAACGCUGGCGGCAUGCCUUACACAUGCAAGUCGAACGGUAACGGGCCUUCGGGUGCCGACGAGUGGCGAACGGGUGAGUAAUGUAUCGGAACGUACCUUUCAGUGGGGGAUAACGUAGCGAAAGUUACGCUAAUACCGCAUAUUCUGUGAGCAGGAAAGCAGGGGAUCGCAAGACCUUGCGCUGAUUGAGCGGCCGAUAUCAGAUUAGCUAGUUGGUGAGGGAAAGGCUCACCAAGGCGACGAUCUGUAGCGGGUCUGAGAGGAUGAUCCGCCACACGGGAACUGAGACACGGUCCAGACUCCUACGGGAGGCAGCAGUGGGGAAUUUUGGACAAUGGGGGCAACCCUGAUCCAGCCAUGCCGCGUGAGUGAAGAAGGCCUUCGGGUUGUAAAGCUCUUUCGGCCGGGAAGAAAUCGUAUCAGCUAAUACCUGGUGCGGAUGACGGUACCGGCAUAAGAAGCACCGGCUAACUACGUGCCAGCCGCCGCGGUAAGAC
rnacentral:rRNA from 1 species